rnacentral:rRNA from 1 species
AGUAACGCGUGAGCAACCUGCCUAUGACAGUGGGAUAGCCUCGGGAAACCGGGAUUAAUACCGCAUAAAAUCGUAGAAACACAUGUUUUAGCGGUCAAAGAUUUAUCGGUCAUAGAUGGGCUCGCGUCUGAUUAGCUAGUUGGUGAGAUAACAGCCCACCAAGGCGACGAUCAGUGGCCGGUCUGAGAGGAUGAACGGCCACAUUGGAACUGAGACACGGUCCAA